UUAGAGGAAGUAAAAGUCGUAACAAGGUUUCCGUAGGUGAACCUGCGGAAGGAUCAUUAAUGAAUCAAAAUUCGGUCGUCUGUGCUGGUGGAAACACAUGUGCACGUCGGUCGUAAUUCCAUCCUCCUUUCAAUCGUCCAAGUGUGUGUUUGGUCGACCUCUGGUCGAAGAGUUGUGGCCCUCGGGCUCGAUUCGUUCCAAAUGCGCCUUGGUUAUUUCACCCACUCUGGGUAUUUGAAACAAAGAACAUCUUAUAUAAACUAUACAACUUUCAACAACGGAUCUCUUGGCUCUCGCAUCGAUGAAGAACGCAGCGAAAUGCGAUAAGUAAUGUGAAUUGCAGAAUUCAGUGAAUCAUCGAAUCUUUGAACGCACCUUGCACCCUUUGGUAUUCCGAAGGGUACGCCCGUUUGAGUGUCAUUGUAAUCUCAAUUCUACGACUUUUGUUGUAUGGAUUGGACUUGGAUCCCGUCGCAAUUUGUGACCGAUCCGAAAUGCAUCAGCGUGUGUCCGUCGUGACGAUAAACCGAUUGUUAAGUUUCAUCGGGCUCGCUUGUCGAGGUUGUCUGGCGAAAGCACAUGCUAAACCCCCUUCAUUUUGACAAUUUGACCUCAAAUCGGGUGGGAUCACCCGCUGAACUUAAGCAUAUCAAUAA
rnacentral:rRNA from 1 species